GCGCCGCUCGCCGGCCGAGGUGGGAUCCCGAGGCCUCUCCAGUCCGCCGAGGGCGCACCACCGGCCCGUCUCGCCCGCCGCGCCGGG
ensembl:miRNA